rnacentral:rRNA from 1 species
GCUAGUUAGCGCGACGGCGUCCGGCGGGGUGGAGCGCGGGCCGACUCCGGCGCCUCGUGCGUCGCGAGCCGACCCCUUCCUCCCGCCCGCCGUCGCGACCCCGAGGCUUCUUAGAGGGACGGGCGGUGGCCAGCCGCACGAGAAGGAGCGAUAACAGGUCUGUGAUGCCCUUAGACGUCCGGGGCCGCACGCGUGCUACACUGGGGGAGUCAGCGCGGACCGCAUCCCGGCCCGAAGGGCGUCGGGAAAGCCGCUGAGUCUCCCCCGUGCUCGGGAUCGGGGCUUGACCAUUGUGCCCCGUCAACGAGGAAUUCCCCGUAGGCGCGGGUCAUAACCCCGCGCCGAUUACGUCCCUGCCCUUUGUACACACCGCCCGUCGCUACCAUCGGUGGACGGUCUAGCGAGGGCCUCGGACCGGCGCCGAGUCCU